rnacentral:rRNA from 1 species
CUUCGCUGACGAGUGGCGGACGGGUGAGUAAUGUCUGGGAAACUGCCUGAUGGAGGGGGAUAACUACUGGAAACGGUAGCUAAUACCGCAUAACGUCGCAAGACCAAAGAGGGGGACCUUCGGGCCUCUUGCCAUCGGAUGUGCCCAGAUGGGAUUAGCUUGUUGGUGGGGUAACGGCUCACCAAGGCGACGAUCCCUAGCUGGUCUGAGAGGAUGACCAGCCACACUGGAACUGAGACACGGUCCAGACUCCUACGGGAGGCAGCAGUGGGGAAUAUUGCACAAUGGGCGCAAGCCUGAUGCAGCCAUGCCGCGUGUAUGAAGAAGGCCUUCGGGUUGUAAAGUACUUUCAGCGGGGAGGAAGGGAGUAAAGUUAAUACCUUUGCUCAUUGACGUUACCCGCAGAAGAAGCACCGGCUAACUCCGUGCCAGCAGCCGCGGUAAUACGGAGGGUGCAAGCGUUAAUCGGAAUUACUGGGCGUAAAGCGCACGCAGGCGGUUUGUUAAGUCAGAUGUGAAAUCCCCGGGCUCAACCUGGGAACUGCAU